CCAGAAAGAGAAGAAUCGAAGCUUCCAUGUAACAAGCAGUAGGCAAUCAUUCAAUUACCCAAUAAUUCAAAUCAUAAAUAAAUAUGAAGGAUAAUUGUAAUACCCAAUUUUAGCCCGGGCCCAAAACAAUAAAUGAAUACCAAAUUUAAAUAAAUAAAAGUUACAAAUAAUCCAGCCCAAUACCGAUAGCCCAAUACCUAGCCUAAGGGUUAGUUCUUCAUUGUUUUUGGAAAGUGCUUUUAAAAAGUGCUGUGGAAAAGUGCUUUUUAGAAGUGAUUUUGAAAAGUUUAAUUUAAAAUUUGAGUGUUUAGCAUUGCUGUCAAAAAAUAUUUUUAGAAAUAAAAUGUCCAUUUUAGACAUGUUAUUAUCAAUUAACAAAUAUACAUUUAAAUAAUAUUUAAAUUAGUUAAUAUUAUUAUAUUUUAGUAAUAAUAUAAAAAAAUAUUAUAACUUGUUGUUAAUAUUUUAAUAUAUGAAAUAUAAAUUGUAAAUAUUUUUAAGCAAUAAAUAUUAAUUAUUUAUAAAAUUUAAUUAGAAUAUAUAAACUAUGUUUUAAAUAUUUAAAUAUAACCAUUAAAUAUUUGUAAUUAGUAUUUUAAAAAAUAUUUUUUUAUUUUUAAUUAAUGAUUUUAACACAAUUGUAAUUAAGCAACAAGAAAAAAAAAAGAAAAAUACUAUGUUAUUGGAGGGGUGAAAAAGUAAUUAAGCACCAAAAGUGCUUUUGGGAGAGGAAAAGCUAAAAUUUUUAACUUCUCCUUUUCAGCCAAAAGCAGCUUGUUCUUUACAGCUUUUCUUUCAAAAAUACUUUUGGAGUCAAAAGUGUUUUUUUUAAGAAAUGAAGAACUGGCCCUAAAACACAAAAACCCUAGCUUCCCUUCCUCGGUGCUGUAGCAACUGCCCCAUCACCCCCACGUUGCUGCUCCCACGCACAGUAGCCUCGCAUGCACUCCGCACGCCGCGCAUGUCUUCUCUCCAGUGCACUUGCCAUGAAAAAACUGCAAGCACGACAGAAUAACAGAAAAAUAAAAAUGAUAAAAGGGGUUUCUUUUUUGUAAAGGGAAGUUUUUUGUCUGUUAUUUUGGCCAUAAAAAGGCCGUUCCAAAUAUGUAAAGGGGGUUACGCAUAUUGAAAAGAAAUAAAAAAAAAUUCAAUUCGAAAAAAAUCAAAAUCGGAAAGAAGGUGUUUUUCCCUUUUUCUUCUGUAUUUUUCUUUUUUCUUUUUAUAUUUUUAAUUGUAUAAAAAAAAGAAGUAGUUAAAAGAUGUGGCUUACCUGGUGUUGUCCUCUCCAUCGCAAUCGGAGACUGAGGCGACGACGGAAGCUGAAGGGUGACCCUGUUGGAGAGCGGCGGCCUAGGGUUUAUUUUUAAAGAAAACCUAGCAGAGGAAAGGGAACAAAUGUUUUAAAAUAUAGGCUGCUAGUGUUUUUUUCAGAAAUUAUUUUUUGUUUAAAUUCCAUCACAAAACGGUGUCGUACAAGCCAGGACUGCACGUGUCGUGGGUUAUUUAUGAAUUUG
rnacentral:lncRNA from 1 species